ACUACACAUGACCUUGAGAAAUCUCUUAACAUCUCUGAGCCUCUGGUGAGAAGAAAGCUGGCAGGCCAAGCUGGGAAGCCAAGAAAAGGCUGUUUCUAGUUCCAGUGAAUUUCAAUCCCUGUGCAUCCUGUGGACUGAGGCUCCAAUGCUUCCAAAACUCAAAGCACCUGCCAAAGCCAGCAGGUAGGUGAUUCCCCUCAACACAGCUGACUCAUCAAGCAAACUUCCGAAAGUCCAGGCAGAGCCGGAGGCUGAGGAGAGUAUUUGCACAUACUAUUUUCCUUAUGCCUGUAUUUUACUCUAAUUACUUUUGAUUGAUCCAUUGAUUCUUUUUUUCUUUUUGAGAUGGAGUCUCGCUCUGUCACCCAGGC
rnacentral:lncRNA from 1 species